AAACCCACUAGAAAGAACGGGAGGUCAUCCAGGGUAGUCCACUUUAUCCGUGACUCUGAGUAAAAGAUUUCCGGGAUCAAGAAACUCGCAAACAAAUAUGCUCGGCUGGACUCUUUUCUCGUAUGUCCGGAAAAUGUUGUUUCGAUACAACUCAGCGCCUUUAUUUCUCGUCUAAACACUCCAGAUCAGCACUUCCCUUUACUCCAUAGGGCCGAAGCUUUACUAAGAAGGGCUUAUUUGUUAGAUGAUGAUUUGAGCAUGCUGAAAAUUAUUUUUCUUA
rnacentral:lncRNA from 1 species